UUCUUGUACUUGCUGGGGUAAUGGUUC
rnacentral:sRNA from 1 species